CCUGACGCAGCCAUGCCGCGUGAGUGACGAAGGCCUUAGGGUUGUAAAGCUCUUUCGCUAGGGAAGAUAAUGACUGUACCUAGUAAAGAAGCCCCGGCUAACUCCGUGCCAGCAGCCGCGGUAAUA
rnacentral:rRNA from 1 species